UACGGAGGAUGCAAGCGUUAUCCGGAAUGAUUGGGCGUAAAGCGUCCGCAGGUGGCUAUGUAAGUCUGCUGUUAAAGAGUGAGGCUCAACCUCAUAAGAGCAGUGGGAACUACAUGGCUAGAGUGCGUUCGGGGCAGAGGGAAUUCCUGGUGUAGCGGUGAAAUGCGUAGAUAUCUGGAGGAACACCGGUGGCGAAGGCGGCAUCCUGGACCAACACUGACACUGAGGAGCGAAAGCCAGGGGAGCAAACGGG
rnacentral:rRNA from 1 species